UACAGCGUGGCAGCAGGACGCCGCGUGAUUGAUGAAGGCCUCUGGGCUGUAAACCUCUUUUAUCAAGGAAGAAGAUCUGACGGUACUUGAUGAAUAAGCCACGGCUAAUUCCGUGCCAGCAGCCGCGGUAAUACGGGAGUGGCAAGCGUUAUCCGGAAUUAUUGGGCGUAAAGCGUCCGCAGGCGGCCCUUCAAGUCUGCUGUUAAAAAGUGGAGCUUAACUCCAUCAUGGCAGUGGAAACUGUUGGGCUUGAGUGUGGUAGGGGCAGAGGGAAUUCCCGGUGUAGCGGUGAAAUGCGUAGAUAUCGGGAAGAACACCAGUGGCGAAGGCGCUCUGCUGGGCCAUCACUGACGCUCAUGGACGAAAGCCAGGGGAGCGAAAGGGAUUAGAUACCCCUGUAGUCCUGGCCGUAAACGAUGAACACUAGGUGUCGGGGGAAUCGACCCCCUCGGUGUCGUAGCCAACGCGUUAAGUGUUCCGCCUGGGGAGUACGCACGCAAGUGUGAAACUCAAAGGAAUUGACGGAUCCU
rnacentral:rRNA from 1 species